UUAUUCUCCCCCAUGUUUCAUUUUGUUAUGAGGCUGAAUUGUAUGCCUGAAGUCUGAGCAGAUGAAGAGGAGUCCUGAAGGUGAAAGUACCAUGAUAGCAACAUAUGGCACCAUGUGGGCCUCCAGCUCUGGGCAAAGGAACCACUGUGACUUCUUUUGACACCUGGAGAGAGACAUCCAUGACUGGACACAUCUGCCUACACUGAGCUGUUUUCCUGCAAGCUGGCUGAAGCCCAGGCUCUGGUAUGUGGUACCAGUACUGUAUUGAAUCUUUGUAGCAUCAUAAUCGUUCUACAAAGGACAGCUUUCUGCCAGAAGGAAAAAAAAGUGGCACAGUGUACUGAAAUUCAUGCUGCUGGGUCUUGCUCUGCAUGUGCAAUGUGUGCAGAGGCACAAGGAAAGGGACACAGCUGCAAGAAGAUGAUUUUACAUGAAACAGGACUGGGGCUGAGAUGGACAACCAAGAUUUGGUGUUACUGUACUUCACACAAGCACAGACUCUACACACACAGUAGCUGUACCUGCAGGAGACCUGGCCAUCUCUCUGUCUCCUGUGUCUCUUUGAGGUCCCUUUGCUUUGUGCACAUGGCUCACCCCACCUUCAGCAGGGGGUGAUCAGUGUCCAGGUAGUUUUGGCUUUAAAGGGGAUUGCAGGUGGGCAUGGAGCCAGAAGGGAGAGCAUUUCUUUCUGCCACAAUAAUGUACAGAGCCCUUCAUGAGAUGCUAGUGAAAAAUUGCUGACACCCCCUUGGUGUCUGUACCCAAGUGUUGCUGCCCCUGCUAGUGGUCCAUCAUAAAGUUUUAUAAAUCACCUUGAGAGCUGGUGAAAAUGCACAUAAUAUUUACAGGAUAAGCAUUAUUGAGAGUACUGUGGGAUUCCUCUCUUGAUGAUAAAAUUCUGUAUAUCAUCCCUCUUGGGCUGAUGUCCAUAAGUAGUGGUUUUCCUGACACAAAAUUUAUCCCAAUCUUUAUGGCAUUCAGACCCAACAGUGCAACCAAAAUUACAGUUUUGGCAUUGUGACUGAGUUCUGCUGUUUUCCUGGCAGUUUAAACCAGAUUGUUAGCAAAAUAGCUGUUUGUUACAGGUUUUGUUUAUAAGUUGCUUUUUUAUUUCUUAAUGUUAGUUAAGGACAUAAAAAUGAGAAGCCAAAAUAUAGGUAUUUAUUUGAUUGACAGUAAUGGCUCUGAGAGAAGCCAUUUAAAUGUUAUUUACAUAUUAUUUGAAGCCAUAAUAAGUGAUCAUGUCAAUCCAUAGCACCUCAUUGUUAUUAAAGGAGUCUGCAAUAGUGUAAGUCA